rnacentral:rRNA from 1 species
UCGNACGGACUCUUCGGAGUUAGUGGCGGACGGGUGAGUAACACGUGGGAACGUGCCUUUAGGUUCGGAAUAAGCUCGGGAAACUGGGUCUAAUACCGAAUGUGCCCUUCGGGGGAAAGAUUUAUCGCCUUUAGAGCGGCCCGCGUCUGAUUAGCUAGUUGGUGGUGUAAUGGACCACCAAGGCGACGAUCAGUAGCUGGUCUGAGAGGAUGACCAGCCACAUUGGGACUGAGACACGGCCCAAACUCCUACGGGAGGCAGCAGUGGGGAAUCUUGCGCAAUGGGCGAAAGCCUGACGCAGCCAUGCCGCGUGUAUGAUGAAGGUCUUAGGAUUGUAAAAUACUUUCACCGGUGAAGAUAAUGACUGUAGCCGGAGAAGAAGCCCCGGCUAACUUCGUGCCAGCAGCCGCGGUAAUACGAAGGGGGCUAGCGUUGCUCGGAAUUACUGGGCGUAAAGGGAGCGUAGGCGGACAUUUAAGUCAGGGGUGAAAUCCCAGAGCUCAACUCUGGAACUGCCUUUGAUACUGGGUGUCUUGAGUGUGAUAGAGGUAUGUGGAACUCCGAGUGUAGAGGUGAAAUUCGUAGAUAUUCGGAAGAACACCAGUGGCGAAGGCGACAUACUGGAUCAUUACUGACGCUGAGGCUCGAAAGCGUGGGGAGCAAACAGGAUUAGAUACCCUGGUAGUCCACGCCGUAAACGAUGAUUGCUAGUUGUCGGGGUGUUUACAUCUCGGUGACGCAGCUAACGCAUUAAGCAAUCCGCCUGGGGAGUACGGUCGCAAGANUNAAACUCAAAGGAANUGACGGGGGCCCGCACNAGCGGUGGANCAUGUGGUUUAAUUCGAAGCAACGCGCAGAACCUUACCACCUUUUGACAUGCCUGGNNCGC